GGACGAACGCUGGCGGCGUGCCUAAUACAUGCAAGUCGAGCGGAGAAAWKRGAGCUUGCUCYMWUUUCUUAGCGGCGGACGGGUGAGUAACACGUGGGCAACCUGCCCUGCAGAUCGGGAUAACUCCGGGAAACCGGUGCUAAUACCGAAUAGUUUGGCGCCUCUCCUGAGGCGCCACGGAAAGACGGUUUCGGCUGUCACUGCAGGAUGGGCCCGCGGCGCAUUAGCUAGUUGGUGGGGUAACGGCCCACCAAGGCGACGAUGCGUAGCCGACCUGAGAGGGUGAUCGGCCACACUGGGACUGAGACACGGCCCAGACUCCUACGGGAGGCAGCAGUAGGGAAUCUUCCGCAAUGGACGCAAGUCUGACGGAGCAACGCCGCGUGAGUGACGAAGGUUUUCGGAUCGUAAAACUCUGUUGUGAGGGAAGAAACCGUACCARSUAACUACUGGUACCUUGACGGUACCUCACCAGAAAGCCACGGCUAACUACGU
rnacentral:rRNA from 1 species